rnacentral:rRNA from 1 species
AACGAACGCUGGCGGCAUGCCUAACACAUGCAAGUCGAACGAAGGCUUCGGCCUUAGUGGCGCACGGGUGCGUAACGCGUGGGAAUCUGCCCUUGGGUUCGGAAUAACGUCGGGAAACUGACGCUAAUACCGGAUGAUGACGUAAGUCCAAAGAUUUAUCGCCCAAGGAUGAGCCCGCGUCGGAUUAGCUAGUUGGUGAGGUAAAAGCUCACCAAGGCGACGAUCCGUAGCUGGUCUGAGAGGAUGAUCAGCCACACUGGGACUGAGACACGGCCCAGACUACUACGGGAGGCAGCAGUGGGGAAUAUUGGACAAUGGGCGAAAGCCUGAUCCAGCAAUGCCGCGUGAGUGAUGAAGGCCUUAGGGUUGUAAAGCUCUUUUACCCGGGAUGAUAAUGACCGUACCGGGAGAAUAAGCUCCGGCUAACUCCGUG